rnacentral:rRNA from 1 species
UACAGAGGUGCCAAGCGUUAGGCGGAAUCACUGGGCUUAAAGCGUGUGUAGGCGGGUGCCCAAGUACCUUGUGAAAUCCCACGGCUCAACCGUGGAACUGCUGGGUAUACUGGGUGCCUUGGGUCAUCUAGGGGCUGCCGGAACAAAUGGUGGAGCGGUGAAAUGCGUAGAUAUCAUUUGGAACGCCAGCGGCGAAAGCAGGCAGCUGGGGAUGCGCCGACGCUGAGACACGAAAGCCAGGGGAGCGAACGGG